rnacentral:lncRNA from 1 species
CAAAGCGACUGAUGUGAUCACAUUGCACAAAAAUCUGAAGAAUAUGAAAUCUAAAAGAAUGAUAGCGCCAGAGGAAACUGUCCUCUGAUUGUUUCUAGCUUGACACCAUAAAGAGAUCAGAAUAAGAGGAACAGCAAUGUUUCCUCCCUCCAUUGGGGCCAAUCACAGCUUCUAAAUUGCCUAGCACUGUCCUGGGAAGCAGUGUCUGUGGGAUCCACUUCUCAUCUCUGAAUGUGUCA